rnacentral:tRNA from 1 species
GGGGUUGUAGUUUAAAAAUAACAUUUAAUUUGCAAUUAAAAAGUACUAACAAAAUUUGUAGUCUACCUCA